rnacentral:rRNA from 1 species
AACGUAGGAGAAAAACGUUAUCCGGAGUUACUGGGAGUAAAGGGCGUGUAGGCGGUUUGUUAAGUCUGGCGUGAAAGCUCUCGGCUAAACCGGGAGAGGUCGUUGGAUACUGGCAAACUAGAGGACGGUAGAGGCGUGUGGAAUUCCGGGUGUAGUGGUGAAAUGCGUAGAGAUCCGGAGGAACACCAGUGGCGAAGGCGACACGCUGGGCCGUACCUGACGCUACAGCGCGACAGCAUGGGGAGCAAACGGG